UUCCUUAUCAAUGGCAACUGCAGCGCUGUCAUCGUACCGUAUUAUGGUACCGUUAGCUAUGCCAUAUCCCUAAUCGUAACGUCGACGCGCUGUUCCCUCUCAAAACGGAACCCUCCCUCCGUUGUUUCACUAGAAAAACCCCUCAAAAACCAGCAUACACAUCAUCAGCCACUCGCGAUGGAGGAAGCGGAGAGUGUAUUGGAAGCUAUUUAUGAAGAAGACGACAGAUUAGAAGAGGCUGAAGAUGUUGAGAUGGUUGAUGUGGAAGAAGGAGAGUUGCUUGAGCUUAACCCACAAAUUGGUCAGGGACAAAGCAGUGGUGGUGGGGGUGUAUGCGACACUAUUGGAAUUCAUGCUUUGCACAGCAAAAACCGCAGGCGUAGGGAAAAUAAGAAGAAAAAUAGGAAAAAGAGAGGUAGUCUAGGGCCAAAUGUGACAGAUAUAAACAGGUUUGUGGUAGAUACUUGUGGACGCCUGAAAGAGAAAAAACUCCUACAUGGUAUAUACUUCCGUAGGUUGUCUGGGAAUUUCUGCGUUAAGUGAUCUGGUGAAAGAGGUAGUUUCAGAAAGAAAGUUUAUUAGGUUGUUUGAGAACUGAUUUUGUUAGCAAGAUUGUGAUGUGAUGUGCUGUUUCAUGUCAACUAUGCAUUCCAAGAUUUAUUUGGAUGACAAAUUUAUGGGUUUCUGAUGCUGAUUAAAUCCUUGACAGAACCAGACAGCAGAUAGAAUUAGAGUUUGUUGGUCUGGUUUCAAUUUUCCAUUAGAAGAUGCUUUGCUGCAUCUUCUUGUUCUAAGAACCUGAUUUGUCCCAAUGGUCCUUUUCUCAUUGGAUCCUUGGGCUCCAUUGUUCAUGCUUUGCAAGCAUUUUUCUUGAAAACAUUGUGUAUUCUGUCUUCAUUAUUCGUUUUCAAAAUGUUAGUAGCUUUGUGUUUUUCUCUACAUGUACUUGGACCCUUGCUAUCUCUCAAUAAUCAUUACAGAUGUGGUUUCUCUUGUUACUGCUAGGUGUUUCUGGGGAUGACUCUGACCUUACCCCUCCCAAUAUUGCCUUCUUUUCACACCCGAUGACAAUAUUUUUAGAAACAAACCGCUCUUUUCUUUUGGUGGAUGCAAUUCAGUCUUGUGGAGGGCAGAUGACUGCUGAUGGUAGACGCUUACGAACAGGAGGUGGAAUAUUAUGGAACAUAAUGAAAACAAGAGAACCAAUGGCCUACAAAGAAAUUAUAAAAAAGGCCAAGGACUUUGAGGUGCGUAACAAUAUUAAUCCAGUAAAUAUAUUGAAACCAUCCCAUCUAAGCACUAAGCGGGCUACUUCAAUGUGAUUUUCCUCUAAUAGUUGCACAUACACAUACUUGUGCAUGUGAACAGGGCUUUGUUUUGUACAUGUGCAUGCAUUGGGAUCAUCAAGUUGCAUUCACAGCCUUCAUCCUUUGUCCUUUUUGGUCAUUCUGAACAAGAUUGUGAACUUUGAACAUGUCAUUCCAUCUGUGUGCUCUUCAAGGCUUUGUAUUGCAUUGUGCUUCUACAUGGGCAGUAGUUUUGUUCAAUAUUUUACUGUUUAAGUAGUAAUCUAUACAAUCCUGGAUUUAAUUUUUCAGAAGCAAUUUAAGAGACAAAAUAUCCAGCAAGCACAACAGCAAAACAAGGAGGGUUCCGCUCAAGAAACUGCAAUUUCAUUAACUGAUGAGGCUUCAUCCAGUGUUCCAGAAGGUUCUCAAGUAGUACCUCAAAAUCAGCAUGAACAGUCCUGUACUCAAAAGAAGCAUAUAUCUGUUCGUGACAGGAUCGGGGUACCUGUUUCAUAUGAUGACAUCCUUGGUGAUGAUCCAAAAAAUGAUUCUAUGUGAUUUUUGGGAAACAUGAAAAUUGGCUUGCCUUCACUUUGGGACUUGUGGGCUUGCUUACUCCUUUUCUUUUCUUUUCUUUUGAUAGGCGCAGAUAUCUUUUAAAAGGCUGCCAGAUGGAAUUUUUCUUCUCAAUUUUUGAAAUGAGGUUAUCGAAGAAUGUUACAUCAAUUUAUGGUUUUAUAAAUUUAAAAGUGACGCUUUUGGCCUCUACCUCUUGAAUAUAGUAUGUUGUUUCUUUGCCUCAGAAUCUUUUACUAUAGCUUAUUAUCAUGUAAAUUAUGUCUUUUCAGUUGGGUGAGAUCACUUACUGAAUUGUUCUGCGAAUACAUUUGCAACUAAUCCUUCUAUGGACAACCAUGUAAUUGCCUUGGUCCAAGUGGUGAUGCUUGUGUAUGAAAUCAGUAGAAACUAGAAAGAAUGCGGCUUAAAUCCUUGGAACCAUGUUUUUGGUGUAAAUUUUGUGGUGUUGCGGCAGUAACUUUAGUAAUUCCUUGCAAUCAUGCAUGCAUGAAAAGAAUUUUUUUUUUUUU
rnacentral:misc_RNA from 1 species